UCGAUGUUGCUGUCCGGGCGUGAUUCGAGGCGCGCCACCACCGCUGCUGUGCGUGCGCGGCGGCUGACUGUCGCUGUUGUGCAUGCACAGGCAGCGGCUUCGCCGCCUCUCCUCCGCGACUCGCCAUUCUCCGACAGAAAUGUACUAAAGCUGUAAAUUCCUUAUCCUAAGCAUGAUGUUCACAACGAGGCAGAGGGGCCGAACUAAGGGUUUGGGCCUGAAGAAAAGCUGACUAAGGGUUUGGGCCUGAGGAGGAAGCCCAAGAAUGCAACUAUUUAGAAUUAUAAUUUCUUAAGCUCUUGGUCCAUGCUUGUGUAUUUUGUGAUAGCAUCCAUAAUUCCUUUUUCUUAAAUUCAUAAACCCACAUGUAAUUAUGUAAGUUAAAGGGUAGUUUGGGAUGUAGUCGAACAUUCUAGUUCGGGAAUGAACUCGUUAUAUUCUUCCUCGA